rnacentral:pre_miRNA from 1 species
AAAAAGAGACAAACCUGAGUUUCCAUGUCCAACGUUUGACCGUCCGUUUUAUUUAAAAAAAUAUGAAAAAAAUAAAAAGACAAAUCACGCAUAAAGUACUAAUCAUGUUUUAUCAUCUAACAGCAAUAAAAAUACUAAUUAUAAAAAAAUUUCAUAUAAGACGGACAGUUAAAUGUUGGACACGAAAACCAGGGUUUGUCUUUUU